GCCCACGUAGCUCAGUUGGCAAGAGCGCAUCCUUGGUAAGGAUGAGGUCAUCGGUUCAACUCCGAUCGUGGGCU
rnacentral:tRNA from 2 species